CCUACGGGAGGCAGCAGUGAGGAAUAUUGGUCAAUGGGCGCAAGCCUGAACCAGCCAAGUCGCGUGAGGGAUGACGGUCCUAUGGAUUGUAAACCUCUUUUGUCGGGGAGCAAGGCCCGCCACGUGUGGCGGGAAGGAGAGUACCCGAAGAAAAAGCAUCGGCUAACUCCGUGCCAGCAGCCGCGGUAAUACGGAGGAUGCGAGCGUUAUCCGGAUUUAUUGGGUUUAAAGGGUGCGUAGGCGGAAGGUUAAGUCAGCGGUCAAAUGUCGGUGCUCAACACCGGCCUGCCGUUGAAACUGGUCGUCUUGAGUGAGCGAGAAGUAUGCGGAAUGCGUGGUGUAGCGGUGAAAUGCAGAGAUAUCACGCAGAACUCCGAUUGCGAAGGCAGCAUACCGGCGCUCAACUGACGCUGAGGCACGAAAGCGUGGGGAUCGAACAGGAUUAGAUACCCUUGUAGUC
rnacentral:rRNA from 1 species